AUACGGCUCAGUAACGCGUAGUCAACCUACCCUAUGGACGGGGAUAAUCUCGGGAAACUGAGCAUAAUACCCGGCAGACCACUUAUCCUGGAAUGGUUAGUGGUUAAAAUGAUUCGCCUCCAUAAGAUGGGACUGCGGCCUAUCAACUUGUUGGUGAGGUAAUGGCCCACCAAGGCGAUUACAGGUACGGGCUCUUACAGGAGAGGCCCGGACAAGGUUACUGACACAAGGACCCAUGCCCUAUGGGGCGCAGAAUGCCACAAAACUUUGCAAUGUGCGAAAGCACGACAAGGUUAAUCCGAGUGAUUUCUGCUAAAGGAAUCUUUUGUUAGUUCUAAAAAUACUAGUGAAUAAGGGGUGGGCAAGUUCUGGUGUCAGCCGCCGCGGUAAAACCAACACCUCAAGUGGUCA
rnacentral:rRNA from 1 species